rnacentral:rRNA from 1 species
CAGCCGCCGCGGUAAUACGUAGGGCGCAAGCGUUAUCCGGAAUUAUUGGGCGUAAAGAGCUCGUAGGCGGUUUGUCGCGUCUGCCGUGAAAGUCCGGGGCUCAACCCCGGAUCUGCGGUGGGUACGGGCAGACUAGAGUGAUGUAGGGGAGACUGGAAUUCCUGGUGUAGCGGUGAAAUGCGCAGAUAUCAGGAGGAACACCGAUGGCGAAGGCAGGUCUCUGGGCAUUAACUGACGCUGAGGUACGAAAGCAUGGGGAGCAAACAGGAUUAGAUACCCCUGUAGUCCCUGUCUCUUAUAC